rnacentral:rRNA from 1 species
UGGGGAAUAUUGCGCAAUGGGCGAAAGCCUGACGCAGCAACGCCGCGUGAGUGAUGAAGGCCUUCGGGUCGUAAAGCUCUGUCGGAGGGAACGAAUGCUCCUGAAGUUAACAGCCUCAGGAGGUGACGGUACCCUCAAAGGAAGCACCGGCCAACUCUGUGCCAGCAGCCGCGGUAAUACAGAGGGUGCAAGCGUUGUUCGGAAUUACUGGGCGUAAAGGGCGCGUAGGCGGCCCUCUAAGUCAGACGUGAAAUCCCCCGGCUUAACCUGGGAACUGCGUCUGAUACUGGAGGGCUUGAGUAUGGGAGAGGGAUGUAGAAUUCCAGGUGUAGCGGUGAAAUGCGUAGAUAUCUGGAGGAAUACCGGUGGCGAAGGCGGCAUCCUGGACCAUUACUGACGCUGAGGCGCGAAAGCUAGGGGAGCAAACGGGAUUAGAUACCCCUGUAGUCCCUGAGCGGGCUGGCAAGGCGCAU